rnacentral:rRNA from 1 species
AGAUUGAACGCUGGCGGCAGGCCUAACACAUGCAAGUCGAGCGGUAGAGAGGUGCUUGCAUCUCUUGAGAGCGGCGGACGGGUGAGUAAUGCCUAGGAAUCUGCCUAGUGGUGGGGGAUAACGUUCGGAAACGGACGCUAAUACCGCAUACGUCCUACGGGAGAAAGCGGGGGACCUUCGGGCCUCGCGCCAUUAGAUGAGCCUAGGUCGGAUUAGCUAGUUGGUGAGGUAAUGGCUCACCAAGGCGACGAUCCGUAACUGGUCUGAGAGGAUGAUCAGUCACACUGGAACUGAGACACGGUCCAGACUCCGUACGGGAGGCAGCAAGGUGGGGAAUAGUUGGACAA